UACGUAGGGGGCAAGCGUUGUCCGGAAUUACUGGGCGUAAAGCGCGCGCAGGCGGUCCGACGCAUCGGGGGUGAAAGCCCCCCGCUUAACGGGGGAGGGUCCGUCGAGAUGGUCGGGCUGGAGGCAGGGAGAGGGCGGUGGAAUUCCGGGUGUAGUGGUGAAAUGCGUAGAGAUCCGGAGGAACACCCGUGGCGAAGGCGGCUCUCUGGGACGGUACUGACGCUGAGACGCGAAAGCGUGGGGAGCGAACAGG
rnacentral:rRNA from 1 species